rnacentral:tRNA from 1 species
UUGGUAGAAGCCAAAAAGAGGCGUAUCACUGUUAAUGAUAUAAUUGAAGUUUCACUUUCCUAUCAAG